CAAGUUUCUGCAGUAAAGGAAGAGGCGCACUGGAGAUAUUAGAAGGCAGGCAACAUUGACUUCUCUAUCCAGUGCUGACGCCCCCUUCACAUUUCCCGAGGUGAGGUUCUUUUGGGUCUGGUAGCCCCGCUGGCCUAGAGGUCAACAUUGACACUGUUUACACUCGGAAUACAGCGAAGGGACUGGCAGGAAAACCACUGAGAAACAUUAAUGAUGCAAGGCUGGUAUUGCAGAAGAAAACUAAGGCUGUGAUCUGCAAAAAUCUAACAUGGAACUCGAUCUCAGCCAGGUUUCGAAAACCUGG
rnacentral:lncRNA from 1 species